UUGAUUUGUUUUAAGUCAUCCUUUUUUCUUCGAAGUAUAUACCACUACCAAAUGGACAAGAUACAAAAGUAUUUUCAAAUAGACUACAACGAUUUUGAAAACUAAAACAUGGUAAGAUGAUUGAAAACAUACAGAAAAAAGGAUGACUUAAAACAAAUCAAUAAAGGAAAUCAGAUUCACCAUUAGCACCAUGGCCCCGCUUCUUUUGAGCAUUAUAGCACCACUGAUCAUCUGACUGGUCCACAUUCCCCAUUAUUGUGUGUACGAUGAAGGCUGGUAUGUAGGUGGUGUACCUGUGCCAUAAUCAUAUGCACCAUAAUUGGCCUGUCCCCCAUAAGAACCACUUGCACGGAAAGCAGCACCACCUGCAUUAUCCACAGGAAGUGAAUAGUGUUGUUGAGGAAUUGCAGCAGGGCUUUGACUGUGGGAUGCGCCAUAAGUUGCUGCAUAAGGGGCAGCUGAGUGGCUUUCGUAGACACCCUGGCUAGGGUAAUCAUAUGGCCCUGAAUAUCUUGCAGCUGGGCUAUGCUGUGGUGGUGGAGCAGGGUUCCGACGACCAAAAGGGGAAUAGGCAUUUGAAAAUUUAGCAGCUUUGGAAGGACGAAAAGCAGGUGGCCUGUUUCCUCGGCCACUAGGUCCACCACUACCACCAUGGCCCCGCUUAUUUUGAGACUUAGCAACUGCUGUUGCUGAACUUUUCUUCCUCUCUGCCUUGGUUUUCUCCAGCCUAGAAGCCCGCUUCCUUAAGUUAUCAAGAGGAAAGUCCAAUUCAAGCUUGUGAUCUUCAACGCAUUUGAUGACAGCUCUAAUAGAAUUCAGCUCCACUGAAUUUGACUCCUCCGUUGCAGCUGCACUAAAAUUGCCAUUCUUCAAGAUAUUGGAUGUAUUCUUCUUGGAGUUCUUAAUGUGAGACUUGAGCAGAGAAACAGGAGGAAAUCUUUCAGUCAAACCUGAUUCAGAAGCAAAAUACACAGCCUCCAUCUCCUUCCCAUUUUUGACCAAUUCAUCUAUCAUUUCUUCCAUUUUCUCUCCAAAACCAAUAGCCACUGCAAGCUUUGCCAUGUCCCUUCUCGCUGCAUUCUCCAUCACAAGCUUCCUCAAGAACUCCUCAUCAAACCUCGACUUCAAACCAAAUCCCAGCAUCAUCUGCAAGAACAUGACUGCCUCCGCAGGUCCCGCAACUCCACCUCCA
rnacentral:misc_RNA from 1 species